GUGCCUAAUACAUGCAAGUUGAGCGCUGAAGGUUGGUACUUGUACCGACUGGAUGAGCAGCGAACGGGUGAGUAACGCGUGGGGAAUCUGCCUUUGAGCGGGGGACAACAUUUGGAAACGAAUGCUAAUACCGCAUAAAAACUUUAAACACAAGUUUUAAGUUUGAAAGAUGCAAUUGCAUCACUCAAAGAUGAUCCCGC
rnacentral:rRNA from 1 species